rnacentral:rRNA from 1 species
UGGGGAAUCUUGCGCAAUGGGCGAAAGCCUGACGCAGCAACGCCGCGUGCGGGAAGAAGGCUUUCGGGCUGUAAACCGCUUUCAGCAGGAACGAAAAUGACGGUACCUGCAGAAGAAGGAGCGGCCAACUAUGUGCCAGCAGCCGCGGUAAUACA